rnacentral:lncRNA from 1 species
UGCGGACCCGGGCGGCUGGCAAAGGACGAGGCGGAGGCUGAGGAAGGCAGCGGGGAGACCUGGGCUGCAGCAACAAAGGGCAGCGAGCGAUUGGCCGGGCUGCAGGCGAGAUUUGCCUGAAGACCUGGACAAUCUUCAGUUUUGUCAUGGACUGUUAAAACAUUUGGAGUUUCAAUACUGGUAAUUUUCCUUUUUUAUUGUUUUUAAUAUAUAAAAUGUCUUACUGAAAUAUGUUGGUAAUGAAUUUGAACGAU